AGCUGUUAACAUUGCAGGGAGAGACAGGA
rnacentral:piRNA from 2 species